rnacentral:rRNA from 1 species
GGAGCUAGCACAGGUGCUGCAUGGCUGUCGUCAGCUCGUGUCGUGAGAUGUUCGGUUAAGUCCGCUAACGAGCGCAACCCUCGCUGUGUGUUACAAGUGUCACACAGGGACCGCCGGUCUUAAGUCGGAGGAAGGUGGGGAUGACGUCAAGUCAGCAUGGCCUUUAUGUCCAGGGCUACACACACGCUACAAUGGUCAGCACAAUAGGUAGCCAAGCCGCGAGGUGGAGCCAAUCCUACAAAGCUGGCCUCAGUUCAGAUCGCAGGCUGCAACCCGCCUGCGUGAAGCCGGAGUUGCUAGUAACCGCAGGUCAGCUAUACUGCGGUGAAUACGUUCCCGGGGCCUU